UACAGAGGUCCCAAGCGUUGUUCGGAUUCAUUGGGCGUAAAGGGUGCGUAGGUGGCGCUGUAAGUCGGGUGUGAAAUUUCGGAGCUUAACUCCGAAACUGCAUUCGAUACUGCGGUGCUCGAGGACUGGAGAGGAGACUGGAAUUCAUGGUGUAGCAGUGAAAUGCGUAGAGAUCAUGAGGAAGACCAGUGGCGAAGGCGGGUCUCUGGAC
rnacentral:rRNA from 1 species